GGGGAGAAGCUCAAAUUUUAAAUCUGCUAGGUUUUACUUAUCAGAAUUGUAAUUUGAAGAAGUGUUUUCCGCGUCUUGGUUGGCCCAAAUCCUUUGGGAUGAGGUAUCAUGGAGGGUUACAAUCCCGUUCGGUUGACCUCAUUGACGCUUUACGAUACGCUUUCUAA
rnacentral:rRNA from 1 species